GGGUUAGGGUUAGGGUUAGGUGAAAAAAGGGUUAACUCCCCACAGGGAGUUAUAAUGCACUGGCACUAGUUUUUCUUUAUAUUGUAAGUUCAUAAAAUCAACAUUUUUCUACUAUAUGGUUUAUAAAAG